ACGAACGCUGGCGGCGUGCUUAACACAUGCAAGUCGAACGGAAAGGCCCUUCGGGGUACUCGAGUGGCGAACGGGUGAGUAACACGUGGGUGAUCUGCCCUGCACUUUGGGAUAAGCCUGGGAAACUGGGUCUAAUACCGAAUAGGACCACGCGCUUCAUGGUGUGUGGUGGAAAGCUUUUGCGGUGUGGGAUGGGCCCGCGGCCUAUCAGCUUGUUGGUGGGGUAAUGGCCUACCAAGGCGACGACGGGUAGCCGGCCUGAGAGGGUGACCGGCCACACUGGGACUGAGAUACGGCCCAGACUCCUACGGGAGGCAGCAGUGGGGAAUAUUGCACAAUGGGCGCAAGCCUGAUGCAGCGACGCCGCGUGAGGGAUGACGGCCUUCGGGUUGUAAACCUCUUUCACCAGGGACGAAGCGUAAGUGACGGUACCCGGAGAAGAAGCACCGGCCAACUACGUG
rnacentral:rRNA from 1 species